rnacentral:tRNA from 1 species
GCGCGGGUGUCGUAACUGGUAGCCGAGCAGGCUUGAGGUGCCUGUGCCCGAAAGGGCGUGGAGGUUCAACUCCUCUCCCGCGCACCA